CUGCGCCGGAUCGGCGACGAGCUGGAGAAGAGCUGGGCCACCGGCGGAGAUAACAGCGAUGAUGAUAACGAUAAUCAGGACAAUAAGGGUGAUAAAGGCAGCGCGGGGACCGGCAGGGUGUCCGUGAAGGGGAUGCACCUGCUGUGCACGGCGAUCCAAGUGACCGUGCUCGUGCUGUUUGUGGGAUGGCGACAUCUGUAGGGCGCAGCCAGGCUUUCCUGCACCUCCCGAAAAGGGCUGCAACAGGCUCCAGUUAUGUCUGAGUUGGGUUCUGAGCAGAUGGGCCUGAAGAUCGCACCAGUGCGGAGCGUGAACACCUGUUGAGAGAAAAGCAAGGAUGCGAGGACGUCCCUCAGCCUGCGGAAGCCUGCCACGCACACUCGCUCACUCACCGUCUCCUCAUCCGUGUAUGUGCUUAAUGAUGUCUGGUAGAGUGUUUGGAUGCAAUCACUGAACACUUUGCGGUUUCGUUGUCACUCUCAUCAACCCAGAUGAGCACUGGUCCACCAGCCCGGUCGCCGGACCUCGAGCCGAGCCAGCUGUGUCUCGAUGUCAUUCGGCGCGUUUGUUUUGGUGAGAUGCGCUGAGGUCAAAUGUAGUCAAACCCACCGGCGGCUCACUGGGGACACUAAUAAUACUCCACUGAUGUCAUUGUCCCUUGGCGAUUGAGGGGAAAAUUUUAUCAUUAUGGCAAUAGGAGUCUUGGCUCAAACUUGAUGACCUUAGAACUGAUUAUUUAUUACUGAAAGUUAUGCAAAAGAAUUAAAAAAAAAAAAUCUAAAUUGCCUAAAUUGUACAUUGUCAUCAGCCUUCAGAGGAGGACUGCCUAACGGACUGUUACCAAAACCUUCUCCUCUGCUUAUUGCACUGUAACAUUUUUGUAAUAAGCUAUUAUAAAUGAAGUCUAAACUGUAAGUUUCUUUUUUAAUUUCGAUUGUUUCCUAUCAUUCUGCGAUGUUACUCUUUAUUACAAUGCAUAUUUGUAUGGUAGAACUGUCUGGGGUGUAUUUUGGCCUUCGGUAGGUGUUUACACAUCAAGACCAAUCUUUUCUAGAGCUUUUUAUAAAGGGCUUCGACUUGAUUGUUGGUUGCAGUGUUAACGUAGAUAAUUUGUAUGAAAUCUCAUGCAUAAUGUGAAUCUAAGGGCAUGCUACUGAUGUUUACAUAAGCUACAAUCUUUUAUAUAAACUGAAUUAUGAACAGCUAGCGUGGUGUUUUUAUUAAAUCAUGUGUUUUACCUCUACCGCUAUUUUGAUAUUGUGAUUUUGUCCUUUAUGAAAAUAAAAGGCUUUUAAAUUUACCAAAA